rnacentral:rRNA from 1 species
UGCAAGUCGAACGGUAGCACAGAGAGCUUGCUCUCGGGUGACGAGUGGCGGACGGGUGAGUAAUGUCUGGGAAACUGCCUGAUGGAGGGGGAUAACUACUGGAAACGGUAGCUAAUACCGCAUAACGUCGCAAGACCAAAGAGGGGGACCUUCGGGCCUCUUGCCAUCAGAUGUGCCCAGAUGGGAUUAGCUAGUAGGUGGGGUAACGGCUCACCUAGGCGACGAUCCCUAGCUGGUCUGAGAGGAUGACCAGCCACACUGGAACUGAGACACGGUCCAGACUCCUACGGGAGGCAGCAGUGGGGAAUAUUGCACAAUGGGCGCAAGCCUGAUGCAGCCAUGCCGCGUGUAUGAAGAAGGCCUUCGGGUUGUAAAGUACUUUCAGCGGGGAGGAAGGUGUUGCGGUUAAUAACCGCAGCAAUUGACGUUACCCGCAGAAGAAGCACCGGCUAACUCCGUGCCAGCAGCCGCGGUAAUACGGAGGGUGCAAGCGUUAAUCGGAAUUACUGGGCGUAAAGCGCACGCAGGCGGUCUGUCAAGUCGGAUGUGAAAUCCCCGGGCUCAACCUGGGAACUGCAUUCGAAACUGGCAGGCUAGAGUCUUGUAGAGGGGGGUAGAAUUCCAGGUGUAGCGGUGAAAUGCGUAGAGAUCUGGAGGAAUACCGGUGGCGAAGGCGGCCCCCUGGACAAAGACUGACGCUCAGGUGCGAAAGCGUGGGGAGCAAACAGGAUUAGAUACCCUGGUAGUCCACGCCGUAAACGAUGUCGACUUGGAGGUUGUGCCCUUGAGGCGUGGCUUCCGGAGCUAACGCGUUAAGUCGACCGCCUGGGGAGUACGGCCGCAAGGUUAAAACUCAAAUGAAUUGACGGGGGCCCGCACAAGCGGUGGAGCAUGUGGUUUAAUUCGAUGCAACGCGAAGAACCUUACCUACUCUUGACAUCCAGAGAACUUUCCAGAGAUGGAUUGGUGCCUUCGGGAACUCUGAGACAGGUGCUGCAUGGCUGUCGUCAGCUCGUGUUGUGAAAUGUUGGGUUAAGUCCCGCAACGAGCGCAACCCUUAUCCUUUGUUGCCAGCGGUCCGGCCGGGAACUCAAAGGAGACUGCCAGUGAUAAACUGGAGGAAGGUGGGGAUGACGUCAAGUCAUCAUGGCCCUUACGAGUAGGGCUACACACGUGCUACAAUGGCGCAUACAAAGAGAAGCGAACUCGCGAGAGCAAGCGGACCUCAUAAAGUGCGUCGUAGUCCGGAUUGGAGUCUGCAACUCGACUCCAUGAAGUCGGAAUCGCUAGUAAUCGUAGAUCAGAAUGCUACGGUGAAUACGUUCCCGGGCCUUGUACACACCGCCCGUCACACCAUGGGAGUGGGUUGCAAAAGAAGUAGGUAGCUUAACCUUCGGGAGGGCG